rnacentral:rRNA from 1 species
AUACGGAGGGUGCAAGCGUUGUUCGGAAUAACUGGGCGUAAAGCGCACGUAGGCGGAAUGUUAAGUUAGAGGUGAAAUCCCAGGGCUCAACCCUGGAACGGCCUUUAAUACUGGCAAUCUAGAGACCGAGAGAGGUGAGUGGAAUUCCGAGUGUAGAGGUGAAAUUCGUAGAUAUUCGGAGGAACACCAGUGGCGAAGGCGGCUCACUGGCUCGGUACUGACGCUGAGGUGCGAAAGCGUGGGGAGCAAACAGGAUUAGAAACCCCAGUAGUCC